rnacentral:lncRNA from 1 species
CUCAUAUCACACUUUCGGCUGAUAAUUGGCUCUGAUACCAUCUGUAACGCCCCGACUUCCCAGGGGGUCACCCAUCCUAGGACUACUCCCGUCCUAGCACGCUUAACUUUCUUAACCUCUUGGGUCUAGCCACCACCCAAAAUACUUAAGCCGGGUUAAGAGUUUAGCCCUAUUAUAUCUUAUAUAUAGGACUAUCUGGGGUCUCACAAAUUACAUAAAAUAUACUAACUAAAUAUAUAAAGCUAAGCAAUGCAUUCAAAAAUCAUUAAUAAUAAAUUUUAAUUUUAAUUUUAAUUUUAAUUUUAAAUUUAUUUUUUGUAUGUGGCCAAUAACACUCUAAAAUAAAAAGGGUUAGAAAAAGAAAAAAAAAAUCAAAAAAAAGAGAGAGAUAGGAGUGGGUCUAAAAUAAAUAAACCAGUUUAAAAUAAAUAAAAAGCUCAUUGUAAUAUUAAAAAAAUACAUAAUAUUUUUUAUUAUUAUCUGCGUAGAACUUACAAAUAAAAAAAAUAAAAAAAUAAAUUAAAGUAAAAAUACUAUCUUUGUUGAUUCUUAAAAUAAAUUAUUAUAUAUUUAUAAAUAAAAUAUUAAAAUUAUAUAUAUAUAUAUAUAUAUAUAUAUAUAUAUAUAUAUAUAGAGUUGAGCUAUGAUACUUUUACAAGUAUCACCAUCAUGGUGCUAUUAGGUUUUAAGCCAUUGGAUCUACUUUUUGAUUAUUAAUAGCCCUUGGAUCAAACAUUAUUCCACCUACCACCACCUACCACCAUCAUCUCAAUCUCACAUCUCUCCAUCCAAGGGCUAAAAACACACAAGUAUCACCCCCAUGAUACUUUUACAAGUAUUCUAGCCCUACUCUAUAUAUAUAUAUAAUUUCAAAGAGUGAGAGAGAGGUCUCAACCUCUCUCUCACUCUCAACCUCACAUCUUUCCAUCCAAGGGCUAAAAACACACAAGUAUCACCCCCAUGAUACUUUUACAAGUAUUCUAGCCCUACUCUAUAUAUAAAU